rnacentral:tRNA from 1 species
GUAGGUGUAGCUCAGUGGUGGAGCAUGUGUUUAGCAUGCACAGGGUCCUGGGUUCAACUCCCAGUACCUCCA